rnacentral:rRNA from 1 species
UACGUAGGGGGCGAGCGUUGUCCGGAUUUAUUGGGCGUAAAGAGCUCGUAGGUGGUUUGUCGCGUUGUUCGUGAAAACUCACAGCUUAACUGUGGGCGUGCGGGCGAUACGGGCAGACUAGAGUACUGCAGGGGAGACUGGAAUUCCUGGUGUAGCGGUGGAAUGCGCAGAUAUCAGGAGGAACACCGGUGGCGAAGGCGGGUCUCUGGGCAGUAACUGACGCUGAGGAGCGAAAGCGUGGGGAGCGAACAGG